GACCACCCUACUCCAGGACCGCACCAAACAAACUUCAGCCACCAUUUCUUUCUUACAAUCCGAAUCAGUACUAAAAAGCCAAGUAUACCACACUCUAGAUCUAGAAAGAACUGGAUAGGAUGGAAGUGGAGGAAAAGCUUUUGGGGGUCGGUGGAUUGGUAACUGCUACAGCUAUAUAUUAAACCUUGGAGGCAAUACUCAUAGCACAGAUUGGCUGUUACCAAACCCCCCCGAGCCCAAUGGUCUCUUCCUGUGGUUUCUCCAGUUCCCUUCAUGCCCUUCACAUAUGUUCAAUGGUCGAAAGAUAGGACGAAGAGGGAAAGGCAGAUGGAUCUCUGCAAGAAAUUGCUGGCGUGGGGGUCUUGGAAAGGAUACGCUUGAAAAAACCGUUUUCUUGAAUUAACUUUUUUUUGCCUUGGGCAAAAAAAAAGCGUUAAAGAAAUUUUGAAGGUUGGAGAUGAUAUCCUUUCCCAGGCCUCCCAUGCCGGUGAUUUCUUGGGUUCCCUCCCUUUCCCAAACUUGUUCUUUUAGAUCUCAGGUUGCUCUGCAUAUAUUCUGCAAUGAUUACAUGUUACUUGAGUUCUUCUUCAGGGACCAGUAAAUCAAAGGAUAUGCUUGAUUGGCUGUUAGAUGAUUUCAGUUCAUUCAUUGAGUUGGUGAACUUCAAAGCUUCGAAAUUGUGUUUUUCAUUUUAGUUGUGUUAUUCGUCUGGCAAAAAAGUUGUUUGAGCUUUGAAUUUUUCCAAGGCAAAGAGUGAUAUAUAUUCCUCUAGUACCACGUGAGGUUUAUAGAGUAGAGGUAAAAGAAGAAAUCCCAUGUGAUGUGAUGGAGUAAACAAAAAUUUCUUCCGGUUUGUAAUGAAAUCAACCAAAAACACUCUUCCACAGCA